ACUUGAUACAAGUACUCUAAAAAUGGAACAAUGUAGUAAAGGUCAGCAUGACCUCUGCUCAAGUAUAACAUGCACAUUCUUGAGGCAUUCUAUAUUUGU
rnacentral:snRNA from 1 species